rnacentral:rRNA from 1 species
AUUGAACGCUGGCGGCAUGCCUACACAUGCAAGUCGAACGGCAGCACGGGAGCAAUCCUGGUGGCGAGUGGCGAACGGGUGAGUAAAGUAUCGGAACGUGCCCAGUCGUGGGGGAUAACGUAGCGAAAGUUACGCUAAUACCGCAUACGAUCUAUGGAUGAAAGCGGGGGAUCGCAAGACCUCGCGCGAUUGGAGCAGCCGAUAUCAGAUUAGGUAGUUGGUGGGGUAAAGGCUCACCAGGCCGACGAUCUGUAGCUGGUCUGAGAGGACGACCAGCCACACUGGGACUGAGACACGGCCCAGACUCCUACGGGAGGCAGCAGUGGGGAAUUUUGGACAAUGGGCGAAAGCCUGAUCAGCCAUGCCGCGUGCAGGAUGAAGGCCUUCGGGUUGUAAACUGCUUUUGUACGGAACGAAAAGGUUUGGGCUAAUAAGCUGAGCUCAUGACGGUACCGUAAGAAUAAGCACCGGCUAACUACGUGCCAGCAGCCGCCGCCG